CUUGCUAGGAUGCUGACGAGCGGCGGACGGGUGAGUAAUGCAUAGGAAUCUGCCCGAUAGUGGGGGAUAACCUGGGGAAACCCAGGCUAAUACCGCAUACGUCCUACGGGAGAAAGGGGGCUCCGGCUCCCGCUAUGGGAUGAGCCUAUGUCGGAUUAGCUAGUUGGUGAGGUAACGGCUCACCAAGGCCACGAUCCGUAGCUGGUCUGAGAGGAUGAUCAGCCACAUCGGGACUGAGACACGGCCCGAACUCCUACGGGAGGCAGCAGUGGGGAAUAUUGGACAAUGGGGGAAACCCUGAUCCAGCCAUGCCGCGUGUGUGAAGAAGGCCCUCGGGUUGUAAAGCACUUUCAGCGAGGAAGAACGCCUAGCGGUUAAUACCCGCUAGGAAAGACAUCACUCGCAGAAGAAGCACCGGCUAACUCCGUGCCAGCAGCCGCGGUAAUACGGAGGGUGCAAGCGUUAAUCGGAAUUACUGGGCGUAAAGCGCGCGUAGGUGGCUUGAUAAGCCGGUUGUGAAAGCCCCGGGCUCAACCUGGGAACGGCAUCCGGAACUGUCAAGCUAGAGUGCAGGAGAGGAAGGUAGAAUUCCCGGUGUAGCGGUGAAAUGCGUAGAGAUCGGGAGGAAUACCAGUGGCGAAGGCGGCCUUCUGGACUGACACUGACACUGAGGUGCGAAAGCGUGGGUAGCAAACAGGAUUAGAUACCCUGGUAGUCCACGCCGUAAACGAUGUCGACCAGCCGUUGGGUGCCUAGCGCACUUUGUGGCGAAGUUAACGCGAUAAGUCGACCGCCUGGGGAGUACGGCCGCAAGGUUAAAACUCAAAUGAAUUGACGGGGGCCCGCACAAGCGGUGGAGCAUGUGGUUUAAUUCGAUGCAACGCGAGAACCUUACCUACUCUUGACAUCCUG
rnacentral:rRNA from 1 species